GACGAACGCCGGCGGCGUGCCUAAUACAUGCAAGUAGAACGCUGAAGGAGGAGCUUGCUCUUCUGGAUGAGUUGCGAACGGGUGAGUAACGCGUAGGUAACCUGCCUGGUAGCGGGGGAUAACUAUUGGAAACGAUAGCUAAUACCGCAUAACAGUAGAUGUCGCAUGACAUUUGCUUAAAAGGUGCAAUUGCAUCACUACCAGAUGGACCUGCGUUGUAUUAGCUAGUUGGUGAGGUAACGGCUCACCAAGGCAACGAUACAUAGCCGACCUGAGAGGGUGAUCGGCCACACUGGGACUGAGACACGGCCCAGACUCCUACGGGAGGCAGCAGUAGGGAAUCUUCGGCAAUGGACGGAAGUCUGACCGAGCAACGCCGCGUGAGUGAAGAAGGUUUUCGGAU
rnacentral:rRNA from 1 species